UACGUAGGAGACGAGCGUUGUCCGGAAUUACUGGGCGUAAAGCGCGUGUAGGCGGACAGGCAAGUCUGCUGUGAAAGCUCCUGGCUUAACCGGGAGUGGUCGGUGGAAACUGCCCGUCUGGAGGACGGUAGAGGUAGGUAGAAUUCCCGGUGUAGUGGUGAAAUGCGUAGAGAUCGGGAGGAAUACCUGUGGCGAAGGCGGCCUACUGGGCCGGACCUGACGCUGAGACGCGAAGGC
rnacentral:rRNA from 1 species